UUUGUCAGUGUCAACAGCUGCAUCGUCAAGGAUGGGCUGAGAUUCCAGAAGUUAUGGCAUCAUCUCUAAUGGCUAUCUUAGGUUUGGGACUUGCCUAUGGUGCCUGUAAAAUGUACGACAGUAAAAAUGGAGAUGUGAAACGAUAUCGUAUGGAGUACACAGUAUAUCGUCCUGAGGAUCCUCGUGCCCAGAAGAUCAAGGAAUGAAGGCCAGUUCUUUCUUAGUGUGUUUCAUUUCUUAAAAAUGUAGUGUGUUUGCCAUUUAUGAACAUCAUUGAUACCAUUCCUUGUAUCUAUGUACAUUAUUAUAUGAAAAGAAUAUUUAUAUAAAGUUUCUUGAUCACU